CUUACACACAGAGAAAAAGCCUUAGAAGGGAUUAGGAAAUACCAGUGUUCUUUGCCGACUUUCCGGACGAGAGAAGAAACCUCAUGUGCCCUGCUUCAAAUGCUGCUGUUUACCUUUCAUAACUGCCUGAAUCAACAAGAUGGAUAAAUAUUUUUCUGUCAUGACGGGAUGAGAGAAAGAUGGAAAGAACAACAUGUGACAGAGGGAAGUUGUUUCAUGGAUAUAUCUUUUCUCCCACGUUGUCUCUUCCUUGUGAGCUCCAUUUGAAGAAAGCUUCCCAUCCUCUGUGUUUAGAAAGGAAAACUUUAAUUAUUAUUAUAUGUGCCAUGUUCAUAAACAAUGAAAAUAUAAUCAACACUGCUGACUGAAAACAUCUCAUCAGAAUUGAUGCCAAACUGGGAAAAAAAGUUAAAUGGAACUCAGAAGGAGUCUCUGACAACUCUACAUCAAUUCAAAAGCUCUCCUCAAGAAACUUCUUCACAU
rnacentral:lncRNA from 1 species